rnacentral:rRNA from 1 species
GACGAACGCUUGCGGCGUGCCUAAGAAAUGCAAGUCGAGCGAGCUCAAGCCUUCGGGCUGAAAGCUAGCGGCGAACGGUCGAGUAACACGUGAGCAACCUGCCCCAAAGCGGGGGAUAGCCCACCGAAAGGUGGAUUAAUACCGCAUGUGAUCCGCACCUGGCAUCUGGUGUUGAUUAAAGCAGCAAUGCGCUUUGGGAUGGGCUCGCGGCCUAUCAGUUUGUUGGUGGGGUGAUGGCCUACCAAGACGACGACGGGUAGCUGGUCUGAGAGGAUGGUCAGCCGGAUUGGGACUGAGAUACGGCCCAGACACCUACGGGUGGCUG